GAUGAAGAACGCAGCGAAAUGCGAUAAGUAAUGUGAAUUGCAGAAUUCAGUGAAUCAUCGAAUCUUUGAACGCACAUUGCGCCCCUUGGUAUUCCGAGGGGCAUGCCCGUUCGAGCGUCAUUAUACCCCUCAAGCCUAGCUUGGUGUUGGGGCCUGCUGUUACCGGCAGCCCUUAAAAUCAGUGGCGGUGCCAUCUGGCUCUAAGCAUAGUAAUACUUCUCGCUACAGGGUCCCGGUGGAUGCUUGCCAUCAACCCCUAAUUUUCUAUGGUUGACCUCGGAUCGGGUAGGGAUACCCGCUGAACUUAAGCAUAUCAAUAAGCGGAGGA
rnacentral:misc_RNA from 1 species